rnacentral:rRNA from 1 species
UACAGAGGGUGCGAGCGUUAAUCGGAAUUACUGGGCGUAAAGCGUGCGUAGACGGUCAAGUAAGUCGGGUGUGAAAGCCCCGGGCUCAACCUGGGAAUUGCAUUCGAGACUGCGUGGCUAGGGUGCGGAAGAGGGAAGCGGAAUUUCCGGUGUAGCGGUGAAAUGCGUAGAUAUCGGAAGGAACACCAGUGGCGAAAGCGGCUUCCUGGUCCAGCACCGACGUUCAGGCACG